GUUUUGUUUGACAACACUUCGAACGUCAACAGGAAGUUACUCCACCUAGGAUCGCUUAGAGCACCUUUAAGAAAGUCCCGAGCUCCCCCAAUGACAUUUUGGUGGCGUCCAUGUGCGUUCAGCUCGUAAAUACGAUCUUUCCGACAUGACUUGAACGUACCAUUUUGGUGUUCUCCUUAGUUUCGAGUGGUUUAGAAUUACGAACACGUCGGAGAUUCUAAAGUAACCUAAUUAGCCAUCUUUAUUAAAUUCAGAAUCUUCACAGCUCAAUUUUCGGGACAUGUUAUCCGUCUUUCUGUUCUUAUUAUUAAUCUACGGUGUGUCUGUUAAAGAGACAGAAGAAUCUAAACCUGUGACGGUGAUGGAGGGAGAUUCUGUGACUCUGCACACGAAUCUUACUGAAGUACUGAACGACGAUACCAUUCUGUGGCUGUUUGGACCCGAAGACUUGCUGAUAUCUCAGAUAAGGCGAAAGGAUGACUUCACUCCAGUUUUUUUCACUGAUGAUGCUGGAUUCAGAGGCAGAUUGCAGGUGGACCAAAAGACUGGAUCUCUGACCAUCAGAAACACCAGAAUCAGACACUCGGGACGAUAUGAACUCACUGUCUCUAGAGAAAUGACUACAACAAAGAUAUUUAAUGUCACAGUCAUUGAUGUGGUUGGUGAGACGGAUGGAAUGAAGUCAGUGACGGUGACGGAGGGAGAGUCUGUCACUUUACGCAAUGAUGCUGAAAUACACAAAGAUGCUCUGAUGCUGUGGAGGUUUGGAGAUAAAGGUGUCCUCCUGGCUAAAAUCGAUAUCGAGGCCAACAAGGCCUCAUUACACGAUGCUGAUGAGAGAUUCAGAGAUCGACUGCAGCUGGAUCUUCAGACUGGAUCUCUGAGCAUCACAAACACCAGAACAAAUGACUCUGGACUCUAUGAACUACAGAUCAGAGGCAUUGAGAGCUCACGGCGAUUCCUUCUGUCGGUCAAUGCUAUCCCAGAACCACAGCUUUCUUCAGGCGCUAAAGCAGGGAUGGGUGUUGGUGUUUUAGUUCUUGUUCUGCUGCUUGUGGCUGCAGCUUUAGCUGCGAUUUACUACCGGCACAGGAUCUUAAAUUAAAAAAGAAAAUGGACGAACAGAAGAAGUCAGUGAUGGAGGGAGAUUCUCCAACUCUACUCACUGGUCUUACUAACAUACAGGGUAUUGAUAAGAUAGAGUGGUGCUAUGAAACUGAAGACAAUCGCAUUGCUGAAAUUAAUAGGAGGACCAUUAAGAAAUCUUCCGGUGCUGAUGGGAGAUUCAGAAGCAAACUGAGGCUGGAUGGAAAAACUGGAGAUCUCACCAUUAGCAACAUCAGAACCAUACACUCUGGACUCUAUAUACUAAAGAUCAGCAGCAGCAGCAGCAAAAGCACCACAAAAACAAAACGCAAGAGAUUCAUUGUUACUGUCAGUGUGAGGACAUUGAGAGUGAAGGCGGGAGGUCCUGUCAUUCUCGAGACUCAUGCUGAAAUACAGAGCAAUGAUCUAAUGCUGUGGACAUUUGGACCUGAAAACCGUCUCGUUGUUAAAACUGAUUCAGGAAGGACUAGCAUUAGUGAGAGUUUCAGAGAGAGACUGGAGCUGAACAAGGAAACUGGAUCGCUGACCAUCAGAAACAUUGGAAUCACAGACUCUGGACAUUUUAAACUACAGAUCAUUAACAGUGAACAGACCACAUUCAGAAGAUUCAAUGUGACUGUCAAUGAAGAAAAUGUGAAUGAAGAUGAAGAGACACAGCUAAUCUGAGGAGAUGUUCCCUGAUGGAGUGAAUGAGCAGCAGGCGACAAGUUCCGUUUGACAGGAUUCGUACGGUCAAAUGAAAAACAAUAUUUUUUACAAUAUUUUACAAUAUUAUUACAAUAUCAAGAGCAUUAAUUGAUAAAAAAAAAAUGACACUGUAAAGUGUUCCUGUUGAUUUUAUAAUUUGAGUAACCUUAAACAGUCUGUGUAAAUGAACAUGCAUGCUUUUUCAGGUGCAGCUUCUGUUCCACCUUUGCAGUGUAAAGAUGGCUUUUGUUAAUGCAAAAUGUUAUUGGUAACAGUCUAUAUAGUGUUCUGAUUGACUUAAGUAAUUGGUUACAGUUAAUUAUUUGACAAAGGACAACAACAAAACUGCACUUAUAAAUAAAUAAAAUGCCCCUGAAAAUCAAUUUCAAGGGGCCCCAUAUUGGAAAAGUUUAUUUCUGAACCUGGCAUGGGGUAAUGUCUGGCAGUUGCAGUUUUUAUAGGUGUAAAUUGCAGAAAUUAAUAAAUUAACUCGACUGUUUUAGGAGAAUUUAAAGGUGCCCUAGAACCCUUUUUCACAAGAUGUAAUAUAAAUCUAAGGUGUCCCCUGAAUGUGUCUGUGAAGUUUCAGCUCAAAAUACCCCAUAGAUUUUUUAUUAUUAAAUUUUUUGGGGGGCAUAAUUAAAAAUGCGCCGUUUCAGCACGUGUGCCCUUAAAAUGCUCGCGCUCCCCGCCCCCAAGCUCACAACUCUAUAAUACAUUGCAUAAACAAAGUUCACACAGCUAAUAUAACCCUCAAAAUGGAUCUUUACAAAGUGUUCGUCAUGCAGCAUAUCGGAUCAUGUAAGUAUAGUGUUUAUUUGGAUGUUUACAUUUGAUUCUGAAUGAGUUUGAUAGCGCUCCGUGGCUAACGGGCUAAAGCUAACAUAACACACUGUUGGAGAGAUUUAUAAAGAAUGAAGUUGUGUUUAUGAAUUAUACAGACUGCAAGUGUUUAAAAAUGAAAAUAACGACAGUCUUGUCUCCGUGAAUACAGUAAGAAACGAUGGUAACUUUAACCACAUUUAACAGUACAUUAGAAACAUGCUAACGAAACAUUUAGAAAGACAAUUUACAAAUAUCACUACAAAAAUCAUGGAUCAUGUCAGUUAUUAUUGCUCCAUCUGCCAUUUUUCACUAUUGUCCUUGCUUGCUUACCUGCAUAAAGUCUGUUGAUUCGGCUGUGCAGCUCCAGACGUUAAUACUGGCUUGGCUAAUGCCUUGAACAUGAGAUGGCAUAUGCAAAUAUUGGGGGCGUACAUAUUAAUGAUCCCGACUGUUGCGUCACAGUCGGUGUUAUGUUGAGAUUCGCCUGUUCUUCAGAGGUUUUUUAAACAAAUGAGAUGUACAUAAGAAGGAGGAAACAAUGGUGUUUGAGACUCACUGUAUGUCAUUUCCAUGUACUGAACUCUAAGUCUUUAACUAUGCCAAGGUCAAUUAAAUUUUCAAUUCUAGGGCACCUUUAAAUAGGGAUGUUAUCUUGUUUAUGAUUGAUGGUUUUCCAGUGAGAUUAAUGGUAAAUAGGACUAGCAGGUAAAGCUGAUUUUAAAUCUUUUUAGUUACCAAAUUUUGUAUUCCAAAGGUUGUCUCUAGCGCCGCAACCUUGUAAAGUUACAGUCAGUGUUAUACACUUUUUUAACCUCCCAUUGAUGUAUGUUAAUCUGUUGCUAGGGUCAGACACAAUAUUUUAACGGUCUUACUGGUGUGUCAGCAUUUAUUUUAUAUUAAACUACAUGGCUUGUCGUUAAUUAAGUUAUGCUGUUAUUUGACAUUUGAACAUGGAUUUUUAUUCUUAUUUUACAUACAUAUAUUGUUGUAUUAUAUCAAGAAAAUGCAAUUACCCUGCCUCCUGUUUAGAUUUUGGAUGUCUGUUGCUACACAUUUGGCCAAUGUAUAAAAUAUUAGGCAUUGCUUACAAUAUUAUUAGUAUUUAUUUUUGUUUGUUUCUAAGAAAUGUAUUAUACUGUAUGGCCAGAGAUGUACAGUUGUUGUUGAAUAUGUGUGUGUGUGUGUGUGUGUGCAGGGUUGGGCAAAAAUACAUCAAAAUGUAUUUUAAAAUAAAAUACCAAAUACCUUAAUAUUAAGUGUAUCAAAAUAAACUACAAAAUACAGCAGCCAAACCAUGUAUCAAAAUAAACUACUGUUUUUUUGUAUUUUAAAAAUACUAAAAAAUACUUUUACAAGGGAGCAUGAAAUUUCUUCGCAAACCUUCCAUCAGUUGGCCUAUUUGUUACAUGUUAUAUAGCUCAACACUGUAAGUCUUUUUGUUUGAAUUUUGUUUUCUUGAUUUACCUAAAGUACCAUGUUUUACCAUGCCUAAUAUCGAUCUAGUUUACUGCAGCAUGCAUUAAGUGUCUCAUAGUAGCUGCUGAGCGAACGCACAGAGUAGCAUUAUUACAACUUUAAGCACACAAAUAUGUCUAACAUGAUAAAACAGCGCUGCUUUACCCCAAACCAUACCUGUCAAGACUCCCGUUUUUGCUGGGACUCUCCCGUAUUUCACACCCAUCUCCUGCCCCCCUCCCGUUUUGCUAUUUCACCUGGGAAACUCCCGUAACUUGUAUGGCCCAAACCUCGUUAUAUGAAUAAUCACAUAUAUUCCAAGGUUAUUCCAAUCAAGGCAAGUAUCACAAUAAACCUCACAAGAAUCGAAAAUGGGCUACUUUCCCAUAAACUGGAGUGAGAUCAUAGACAUCACGGCUCUAUUGCGAUCUUUCCUGGCGUCCUGUGUUGCGUGACAGUGCCAUCAGUUCAAGCAGAGGGCACAAACCGAUCAUCUCUUCCACUUUACUAGUUACAACAUGAAAUAAACAUGAAUUAGCAUCUGAAGGUAUAGUUUACAGCAUUAGUUGACAGAUAUUUUGUACUUAACCUUAUAGGCCCCAAAUUAAUCAUUGAAUCGAAGGUCAUCAAAUCAAAAUCAAAUCGCAAGCUCCUGAAUCGAAAUCGAAUCCAAUUGUGAAAUUUGUGUCAAUGCCCAGCCCUAGUGUCAAAAAAAAAAAAAAAAAAAUAUAUAUAUAUAUAUAUAUAUAUAUAUAUAUAUUUUUUUUUAACUUGAAUCAAAUGUUGUUUUUCCCAUUUAUUUUCUUGUCAGAGUGCACCAAAAUGCUUCGUUUACAUGUUAAAAUCACAAUUUUCUCAUGGGGGACGAUUCCCCCAGACCCCCCUACAAUUAUUUAGUUUGUCACCUUUUUCACCUCUUCUGAGUUUGCAGGUCUGAUUUUUACCUAGGAAAGUUGUAUUUACGAUAAUUUCGAGAGUACGUGAAGGCAGCAUAAAUCACAAACGGCACAGAGGGGCACACCGGCCAUUUCGACCUUCAGUGUAAUGUUAAUGUAUGUGUAAUGUAUUUACCCUCCUGGAUUUUGGUACCCAGAUGUUGACAGGUAUGCCCCAAACACGAAUAACCGGAAGAAGCGGGAGCAGCGUCUGUGGCAUAAUAAAAGUCCCGCUGCUCUCGAGGUGUGUGUCGCGCUAGAUAAGACAUUCCCACCAGUGUCACUGUGACAUCAACAGUCAAACUCAACAACAUUUCUGCUGUUGCUGAAAAAUGUGAGAAAUUAACCCGUGUUCUGCAAAAAGUUUGAAUGCAUUCUUGUGCGAUGAGCAGGUUACAGAAUAUGCGAUAUCUGAUGUGGAUGUGUGACACUUUCAGAUGAUCCGGGGUGCUACUGCAAGACUUGAUUUUCCUGCUAAGACAAAAGCUGAGAUCAAGCACCCUGCAAUAAAGCAAUAAAACUCAUCUGAGUCCAACAGAGGUUGGAUUUUUGAGAAAGUGUUUGGCCCAAUUCAUUUUGCUCUUGAAGGACUGUUCCUAUUACACUAAUGAACUGUAAAUUACAUUUAAGCAUUAAUGAAGAAGACAUGUCAGUAGUGAAAUCUACUUAGAUAUUUACACAACAAAUAGUGUUGCGAAAUUGCAACUCUAGUAGGAUUUAAACACUCAGUUGGUCUGUCAGAGGAAGUUCUCAACCACAGGAGGAGCUGAUAGUGUUUAAAGGAAGAGCUGUAACUAUAUAAUGAAGAGAGAGACUGACAGAAACAGAAAAUGGCUGAUAAGUGUGAUCUGUGUCUGCUGGGACUGAUCAUUCUCUCUUCACUUCUCACAGGCAGCAUGCAUAAUGAUGUAUAAUGUUCUCUGAUCCUGAAACUAACACACAUGUAAUGUCACACUAGGUGCACAGGCCACAGCCACCUCACUCAAUUAAGCAGGUCUGCAGAAAUACACAGAGCACAAUGAUUUUUGGGGGGGGAUACACGUCUCUCUCCUUCAGUUUGUCAAUACAGCACGGAGAAAGCUAGUAAGCAAAACCAGUCUCGGUAAAACAUUCAAAAUGCAAUUCAUUGCAUUAAAUUUCAUGACAUCACAAUCUUACAUUACACUUAAACAUUAUUUAUCUCAUGAAAUUAAUCUAUGAUAUUGUUUACACUUAAGGAAAUGCCCUUACCAGCACACUCCUUUGAAGAGCGAGAGAAAGCACAACCAACCCCGUCAAUAGCAAAUGUGCUUCUAAAGAUGGCGCUGUUUGCACAUCGCACGAGGUAUCACCAAUAUGUGGCCAAUAAAAUAUUCUGCAUGAACGGUUCCAGCUAGAAUUAAUUAUGUAUAAUAUGCCCAAUUAUAAUGCCGAACCAAACAUAAAAACAGACACACACACAAAAAUAACAUACAAGUUUUAAUGAAGUUCAUUUACAUUAUUAUUAUAUUUUGUAACUACAAUUGGACAGAAAGUGAGGCUUCAUUCGUCAUUGGUCACGUGAUUUCUACAUUACCAACACAAGCCUUGAAUCGAGGCUUCAUCUGGCACGCCCAUAAUGUAGCCCCUCCAGUUCCCACCUGCCCACUCCAAGCGGGAUGCAAACCCGGGUCCGUUUGCAUGGGAGUCAGAUGCUCUAAAAAGGAGGCUAAAGGCUGCCACCUCUAGCGUCAGUUGCUAGAGCAUCUCUUGAGAUCAGGGGAGUGAGGUUUACAUGCACAGCACUUACCAGCCUACGUCGGUUACACUCGGCACAAGCUCAGAAGCCUCGGUUCAAAUGUCACAUCACUAGUGUGUUCACCUAUUCCCCAUGUGCUUUGCUCCCUUUAUAUUGUGCUCCUUUCCCUCAUGUCAUUGCUGGUUCAGUAAGUUUCUGGUUUUUGUUGCAUUUUUACAUAGAUUUCAUGAGUUUGUUUUCCCAUAUAAGCUAAUAUGGUUAAGUGUAAAUGGCUUGCUGUCCGCUGGGCUCGAGGAAGCAGCUUCAACUCGAGCUUGGAUAUACCCCCCAGAGGGACUACUAGUGCUCAGAAGAGGAGUAUGAUAAAUGAGAUGCCUAAAUUAUGUUGGUGGAGGAGUAUUGAAACAGCUGAUGCCAGAGCAGGGUGAGUAGCUGCUUAUAUGCUCUGGCCAGUAAUUGAAAGAUUAAGGUUCACUCCUCUUGAAAUUAUGGUUGUGAAUUUCUUGGGUUCACUCCUCCCGAAAUUACGUUUGUGAACUUCACUUACUUUUUGGGUUCUCUCUGGUUUUUGCUUUUAUUUCUCUAGUUUAAGUUCCUGUUUUUUUUUUUUGUUGUUUGUUUGUUUUUUUUUUUUUUUAUAGUUUCCUGCCAGGUUGCAGUCUAGUUUUUAUUUUCUUUUGUUUUGGGCCUAGUUAUUUAUCUCUAGAAUUUAUUUCUUUGCUUGUCUCUUGUUUACUAGUUUAGGCUACUUUUUGAUUUUUUUAUUUCUUUUGUUUCUUUUUCUAUUGCAGUUAGUUCAUUUGCUUUUUUCCUAGUAAUAGUUUUUCCAGUUUUUAUUUUGCUUUUGUUUAUGUUUCUCUUGUUGUCUUGUUUUGAGUCUUGUCUUGUCUUGUGUCGGUUGCUGUCCUGCCCUGCAUCCUGAUAAGUCACCUAGUGUCGAGCCUCUGGUUCAAUGAGCCGCCGCCUUGUCUCCAUCAUUGCCUUGGCGUCUGGAGUUGUCUCAUCCCCGACCAGCGUGUUCUCUGUCGUGUGCCCUGCCCUUUUGUUUGGACUGUGUUCCUGCCUCACCUAUCUUGUGCUCUAACUUUGUUGUCAAUAAAUAUCACCCUUUACUCA